GAUGAACGCUGGCGGCGUGCCUAAUACAUGCAAGUCGAGCGAACGGACGAGAAGCUUGCUUCUCUGAUGUUAGCGGCGGACGGGUGAGUAACACGUGGAUAACCUACCUAUAAGACUGGGAUAACUUCGGGAAACCGGAGCUAAUACCGGAUAAUAUUUUGAACCGCAUGGUUCAAAAGUGAAAGACGGUCUUGCUGUCUCUUAUAGAUGGAUCCGCGCUGCAUUAGCUAGUUGGUAAGGUAACGGCUUACCAAGGCAACGAUGCAUAGCCGACCGGAGAGGGUGAUCGGCCACACGGGAACUGAGACACGGUCCAGACUCCUACGGGAGGCAGCAGUAGGGAAUCUUCCGCAAUGGGCGAAAGCCUGACGGAGCAACGCCGCGUGAGUGAUGAAGGUCUUCGGAUCGUAAAACUCUGUUAUUAGGGAAGAACAUAUGUGUAAGUAACUGUGCACAUCUUGACGGUACCUAAUCAGAAAGCCACGGCUAACUACGUG
rnacentral:rRNA from 1 species